rnacentral:lncRNA from 1 species
ACACAAUCUUAAAAUCUUUCCAUCUUAGAAAAUUCAUUCCAAGUAUUUCUUUUGUGUGUGUGUGUGUGUGUUUUUUUUUUGCCUAUAAAAGAUAAUGGAAUAUGUUUUAUAGACUGGAUUUUAUCUCAUCCCCCUUCCCUCUCCGGACUGCACUCUGUUUAAUAGUUGUCAGUUUUUCUUCAGUGUUGAAUUUAAUUAUAUAGGAACAAAAUAUUCCUCAGUAAAAUAGCUUGCUAAAUAUUCUGCAACGUUUGUGAUUUCCCGUUUGAGAAAUAGCUUAAUUACAGAAAUCUACCU